GGCACGGCCAGGCGGGGGUCCGCGCCCUAGAAGCGCCGGGACUGGGAGCCCCAGGAAGGGGUCUGGGUGGGGAGGAGUCCUGGGCCAGCAGCUGGGGAUGGGCGAGGCGUGGGCGGAGUCGGCGCUCUGAGCCCCCACUUCCAGGACCUGCAGGGUCAGCGCCCACUCUUCUCCCAGUAGGAAGGGGGGCGCGGCGGCCGGAUCCCCGCGGCUCCGCGGGGAGGGCGCACCCUGGCUCGAGAUCUCCGCCUUUGCCUGGAUCUCGGCGCACAGCUGGCAGGGCGCCCCCGAGCCCAGGAUCUGGUGCAGAGCAGAUGAAAGAAAGACAUGGGAGUCCCGUGGCUGUCUGGCUGGUCCCACUGGCUAGGACAAAGUACCUGUAUCAGUCAGUGUUUGCAAGAGAACAGACUCAGUGCAGGACACAGAAAUUUACAAGAGUAGCUUAUAAUAUUUGCUCACAGAGUCCAAUGUAUAAGAGUGCAAGAGAUCUCUCCACACAGCAGAGACCCAAGGAAUUCAGCUGAGGGCCUGGAUCCCACGGCAAUGUCCUGUGCAAAUCCACACCAGGAGGCAGAGGAAUCCUUGAUGGAAGACUGAAGGAAAGUCCAAGGGCCCUCGGGAGAGGUCAGAGUCUGAGCCAGCUGAAAGGCUGAUGUUGGAAGCUGAAGAACCCACUCUGAGAACCAGGAGACAAAGCCCAAGGUGAAGGAGAGGCCCAGAGCUCCUCCCAGGAGAACAACAACCAUGCUCAAGGAAUAUGAUUCCUCAUGUGCUCAACAGCAAGGCUUUGAGAAGCAACUGGAUUAUGGGGCUGACUGCUGACUUGAACCUGAGAGCAAAAUAGUUAAUAGCACAAAAGAAUAAAAAAGGAAAGUGAGAUCUUUUGUCUUUUCUUCCUUAAGAUUAAGGAGGAGAAAGUCUGCUGGGGGAGUGACGCAGUAGUGGCAUAGUCAGCGACCAUUAGGGGUGGGGAAGAAGUAAAGCCCUGGACUCCCCUGCUGCUCAUGAAAAGGAUGAUUUCUCUUUUCACCUGGGACAGUCGGGGACUUAAAAGCCAUUUUGCUGUGAACCCCGACUUCUCACCAGGGCCUGCAGAUGCCCCGUAGGUGAAUAAGAGCAGAGCAGAGCCUGACCAUCUUAUAUCCUUUGUUACCACAAAUCUUGGGUCAAAUCUCAGCUCUGCAUAGGGCGUGUGGGUCAUUCCGGGAGUGUCUGUCUAGGAGCUGCAGCACAGGGUUGAUGAGCACUGUACUUAUGUGACCUCAUCCCCCUCGAGACUGAGGACACCAAGAUAAGAGGUUUAUGGGGACAGUCAGCUACACGCAGAAGUCUCCAGCCAUUGUCCCAACCCAUAAGCACCUGGGUUCCAAGAAAGACAGAGCCUGUGUGACUGAGACCCGCACAGACAGAGACGGUCCUUUCCUGAGAUGAGGUCACCCCUGAGCCAGAAAGAGUUCAGAACAAUGACACCAGGCCGGAGAUGAUGAUCAACCUGACCCCAUCCCCAGAUAAUCCCUGAAAGCUGCCUUUGUGGGUCUUCUCCUACCUUUCUUCUUUCCAAUUAAAGCUUUUU